CAUGAGCAGCCCAGGGGCCACGUGAGUUGCUGGUGCCCAGGAGCACACAGACAGCAUACAGAAAGAGCAUUUUCUAGAGGAAGCAGAGACACGACUGACCGAGUCCCAGCAACUCAUAUGCAGUUCUCCUCCCAGUUCUUGAGUAAUUAUUGCCACAGUGAUAAUGACUGGGCCAUGUUGCUAUCAGUAACAGUGAGAGAUUGGAAUAUUGUUCGCAAACAGAGUGGUAUCUGCUGGACACUAAGGACUGCUAUAAAU
ensembl:snoRNA